GGCUCCUUCAAGUUUCUAUAUUUCACAUUCGGACCCCUAAUGCUUCAAUAACUGAAAAGUAGCCUUCAACUACCUAUCCAUUUCCCCUCGUUCCAGUUUUGUCUCCUACUUGUACCCAAAAACAAAAAUAAUAAUAAUAAUAAAAAACUACCUUCCAUUUCCACGUGGCUAAAGUAUCUCUCCAAACUUAUAUAGUAUCCUGCAUGGUCGGGCCAACCCUAUCUCGGUGGAACGAGAAUGGCAAGAUGAGCAAACUACCAUAGCUCAGCUCAUAUUUCUCAGCUCAGUUGCAUAUUUCUCAGCUCGGUGUUUGCUUCGACUUGAAUUUUCUCAGCUCGGCAGUUAAUUUUUCUCAUAUGUGGAAGUACGUAUUCUCUAUCAAACUAAGAUAACCCUCGGAGGUUAUUUCGAAUCUUCAGAAGAAUAUAAUACAAUUUUGAACGGUUACAACACAACUCCAGGACUAUUAAGAUACGAUUAGUAGGAGAUUUGGGAUCUUGCUGCUAUAAAUUAACUCGGAUAUCCUCCAUAAAAAGUAGAACUAGAAAAUUCUAGCGAAAUACCAUCCG
rnacentral:lncRNA from 1 species